GAUGAACGCUGGCGGCGUGCCUAAUACAUGCAAGUCGAGCGAACAGACGAGGAGCUUGCUCCUCUGACGUUAGCGGCGGACGGGUGAGUAACACGUGGAUAACCUACCUAUAAGACUGGGAUAACUUCGGGAAACCGGAGCUAAUACCGGAUAAUAUAUUGAACCGCAUGGUUCAAUAGUGAAAGACGGUUUUGCUGUCACUUAUAGAUGGAUCCGCGCCGCAUUAGCUAGUUGGUAGGGUAACGGCUUACCAAGGCAACGAUGCGUAGCCGACCUGAGAGGGUGAUCGGCCACACUGGAACUGAGACACGGUCCAGACGCCUACGGGAGGAAGCAGUAGGGAAUCUUCCGGAAUGGGCGAAAGCUUGACGGAGCAACGCCGCGUGAGUGAUGAAGGUCUUCGGAUCGUAAAACUCUGUUAUUAGGGAAGAACAAAUGUGUAAGUAACUAUGCACGUCUUGACGGUACCUAAUCAGAAAGCCACGGCUAACUACGUG
rnacentral:rRNA from 1 species